GCUGGGUGUGGUGGUGGGCACCUGUAAUCCCAGCUACUCGGGAGGCUGAGGCAGGAGGAUUACUUGAACCCAGGAGGGGGGGGUUGCAGUGAGCCGAGAUCGCACCACCGCUCUCCAGCCUGGGUGACAGAGUGAGACUCUGUCUCAA
rfam:Homo sapiens chromosome 10, GRCh38 reference primary assembly.